GUCACUAAGGAUUUGGUUUCCUCACAAGUCAGGGCCUUUGGUGGUUCUGUGGCUGCAACUGUGAGGACUAACACAGCUACCAAACUCAAAAAUGGUACAUACAGACUCUUCAUUUUUGCCACAAUGGUUUAUCUGUAUCACUCACUGGUGCUUUUGAUUUUGGAUGGAUGGAACACUGUGAUAGUCUUACAUUUAUAGCCACAUGCAUGGUGCGUUCUGAGCUAAGUGGGGUUCCUAUAGACUCUACAAAACAACGGCUAGAGUGACAAAGACUAUUAUUUAUGAUUAUUAAUCACUUCUUGUUCCUUUUCUUUUUCUUGUAGUAUGGUCCAUAAAAUAUGAAGAAAUAUAAUUUCUUUCAACAGUUUUGAUGUGUUAUUGCGAAUAGUUAGUGACUUUUUUUAUCUCUUUCUUAGAGUAUGCUCUACAUACUCCUACAAAACAAGAUUACAAAUGAUGUUUUGACAACCUGUGGAGUUGUAUACAACUUUUGAUGUGAUGGAUUUAGAAUUAAAUAUAUAUAAUAAAGGGUAAAUUUGUAACUAAAAGAUAUGAAAAAUAUUAAAAUAAUAGUAUUGGGAGUUGUAAUGUGGUUGUAUAAAAAAUGUGUGUGGUCAAUGUAUCAUUGUUUAACAAUGUAUACAAACAAGAUAAAGAAUCAUUGUAUUUUGUUUGUAUCUCAUUUUGCUUUAUUGAUUUUAGGAUUUUAAAAUUUAUUGUUGUUUCUUUCUUUUCUCAACCCACGUUUUCUCUCUAUAUUCCUCUCUCUCCCAACUUCUCUUCUCUUCCUUCUCUCUUCAUUUUCUUUCUCAUACCUUAUCUAUUGAAAAAUCUGAUCACACCAUGUUGCAGUAGAGAAGUCAGGAUACAUUUCUAUCCGAUUAUAUUUUAAAUCAGAGUAAGUUAAUUUUUACUCUAAAAAUUAUUUAUUCUAUGUUUUUCUCUAUGAUUUAGUCAUCAAUAUUAGCGAUGUCCAUUGAGAAAAGUGUUUCUCUUAACUUGAUUAAGCUCAUACAAAAAUUUGGUAAUGUUUGGAUAACUUUCUCUAGGUUCCUAAAUUUUGGAGUGGUUCCCCCAUUUGAGGUAGAAUUUCCAUCAGAAUAAGGAAUCUCAAGUAACGGAAGCAAACUUUAAAUUUCAAUAGUACCCAAGUUAGAAGAUCUGAAUGUGGAGGGGACGUGAUUCCUAGUUUCAAUUUCUAUUGUAGGAAUGUUAUUUGAUAAAAUUGUUUGAUUUUAUGUUGUGUGAACAUGUAUAAUUAUUAUAUUUUGAUAGUUUGGAAGUUAAAUAUUGUUUUUGAUGUUGGAAAAGUUCUUGAAUAUUAUGUGUUUGAAUGAUAUGUAUUAUAUAUGAAUGAUGAAAAUUGUAUGAAAUUGAUGUAAUACAUUUGGGAUAAUGUAUGAGUUAUUGUUUGAUGGUACAUUAGGUAUGAAAAACCUAUAUUUAACAGAGAUCCUCUAGUUUCACUUAUGAUCUAAUUCAUAUAGAUUAAGAUAUCAAUAGGUGAGAAACUGAUUCUAGAGUUCAUACACACUGAGUCCCGCUAUAGACACUCGGUAUUAGAUGUUUGAACGUAUCAUGAUCAUUGAUGUAUGGAUUAGAUCUUAGUCUUUGUUAAAAGCAUACUUAAUGAGUUUUAUAAUUAUAAAUAUUAAAAAUUUUAUGUUAUGAUAUUAACUAAUUAAUUAAAAGUUAUCUACAUAAAUGAUUUUGUUUUUAAAAUAAUAUAUAUAUAUAUAUAUAUAUAUAUUUACUUUUGUCCGACCCAUGUGAGUAAGGAGAAACCCCACCCCCUACUUGUUACCAUUUCAGUUUUGCUUUUGUGAUUCUUAAACCUUUAGAAUUUAUAUUAGUUUUUCAGUUUUUUAUCAGUAUACGUUUCUUUUAAGUAUUUUAAGUAUAUAAUGAUAGUUUGAUAAUGUAGUAAUUAAAAAUAUAUAUUAAAAAGUUAUAUUUCUUUAAAGCAUACAUGCAAUUAAGAAAUAUAUAAUAAAACGGUUGUGACAUUAAUUAUUUUUUUCAUUUUCAUUUUUCAUCUCAUUAAAUAUAUAUACAUACAUUUAAAUUAAUUAAAUUUUUAAGGGAAAAUAAAAGUAUAAUUAUAAAAAGAAUAUAAUUUACUACCAAUUUGUGAAUGUAAAAAGUGAAUAGUUUUUAUGUAGAUUAAAGAUGUGACAAAAAAAAUGGAAAAAAAUAUUUUAUUUUUACUUAAAGUAUACAAGGUCACUUUUAUGAUUUAUGUAUUUUUCAACAUAGAGUUUGCAAAUAUGAAUUUUUUAUUAUGUGCAAAUCUUGCUAUUUAUUCAUGUUUACUUAAUAUUUUUGCAUACAAAGCUUUAAACAGAUAUAAGAGUUUUGUUAAUUACAUAUUCAAACAACAUUUAUUCCAACAAUUUCAUUGUAACAACCCAUAAAUUACAUUUAACUAUUACAAUACAAGUUCUAUAGGUUUCUAUAGAAGCUUAGAGUUUUUCAAAAUAUUCAUAUUAGAAUAUUAUGACUUAUACAAAUAUAAAUUUUUACAAUAUAAGGUUCAAAACAACAUCUUAAAGCCCUUCAGACCCUCUCAGCACGUGUAUGAUCAUGUGUUCGUGUACGUGUUUCAGUCAUAACAGUUCACAACACAACAAGAAAGUAAGGGUAAGCGGUUGUCAAAUAAAAUUUCAAUAUCAAUUUCAUCAUUCAUAUAUACCAUACAUGGAUCUAUUUUCAAUAACAAUCAUUGGAUUUCAUUUCAAUCCAUAUCACUUUGAUUUCAUUUCAAUCACACUGACUACACUUGAAUCCAUCGUCUUCUGGAAAACUCCUUAAGUAUGUCCCUACUAGAGACUAACAUCUAAUCCAUACAUAAAGGAUUAGGAUAAGUUCAAACAUCUAAUACCGAGUGUCUACCGCGGGACUGGGUGUGUAUGAACUCUCUCAUCAACUUCUCACCACCUGAUAUCUUAGUUUAUAUGACUUAGAUCAUCAGUGAAGCUAGAGACUCCCUGUUAAACAUAGACUUUUCAUACUUAAUGUACCAUCAAACAACAAUUCAUACAUUAUCCCAAAUGUAUGACAUCAAUUUCAUAGAAUUUUCAUCAUUCAUAUAUAAUACUUAUCAUUCAAUCACAUAAUAUUUCAAAAUUCAUAACAUUCAAGAACCUUUCCAACAUAAAAAAACAAUAUUUAAUUUUCAAACUAUCAAAAUCUAAUAUUUAUACAUGUUCACACAACAUAAAAUCAAACAAUUUUAUCAAAUAACAUCCCUGCAAGAGAAAUUGAAACUUGGGACCACUCCCCUUCCACAUUCAGAUCUUCUAGCUUAGGGGACUAUUGAAAAUUAAAGUUAGUUUCCCUUACCUUAAUUGAUCGCUUUCCAAGCAACAUCUAGAAUUUUUAUCUCCUCAAUUUGGAUAAGCAUCAAGAUAUAAGGGCGUAAUGCAAGUUAUCCAAACAAAACAAAAGUUCAAUAUAUAGUAGAAUAAGUUGAAAGGAUUGCUCUUUUCAACUGACCCCACCAAGAUUGAUCACUAAAUCAUAGAGAAAAACAAAGAAUAAAGGAUCUUUAAAGUAAAUAUGAAUUUACUCUGUUUGAAAAUUUAACUCCUCAGUUAUAGCAUGACGUGAUCAAAUUUUGAAAUAGAUGAAGUAUGAGAGAAAUUGAAGAGAGAAGAAAGAGAGAAAGGAUGAAAGGGUGAAAAGGAGGGGCGGCGAUUCUGUUUUCCUUUUUUUUUUUUUUUUUUACGGAGGGUUAGAAUCUUCUUCAAUGUUGUGUGUAUUUAUAACACCUUAAUUAUAUUUGUUAAAAUAUAGAUCAUUGGUAUAAAGAAAACAAAUAUAAGUUUGUUAAGAUCAUCAUGCAAACAUACAAACGUUUUUGUUUAUAUGAAGAAUUAAAUCAACAACUUAUAUUUUAACAAAUAAAGAAAGGACAAAGUCAGAUAAACUAAAAUCUACUUAAGAUUAAAUUAAACACAUAGAUAUGUUUAUGUCUCAACAUAUCAUUAAAUUAGAAUGUAAAAUUUAUGUUGAAACUAAAUUUUAUUUAUUAAUAUGUUUAAUAUUUAUGGACAGAUUAAUCAUUAUAAGAAAAUUACUAAAUAAAUAUUAAUUUUGGAGACUAAAAAUAAUUAGUCACUAUAUUAACUAAAUUAGUUAAUAGUUUAGAAAUUAAAGAAAAUUAUUGGUAUUUGAAGUGAUUUAUAUUAUUAAUAAAUAGUUUCUAAUCGGUAUCUUAUUUAGAAACUAUUUAUUAAUAAUAGGAACUACUUUAUGUACUGAUAUUUUUGGACUCUCUAAAAUAAUAUCUAAUUUAGUUAAUAUAAUAACUAAUUAUUUUUUGUCUAUAAAAUUAGUCUCUAUUAAAUUAUUUUUUACUAAUAAUAUUUUUGUUAUAUAUAUGCACACACUUGUAACACCCUUAUCAGACAUCAACCAUAAACUAUAUAACAUAAAUUUUCAUAUAGCAUUUACAAACCAUAAUAUAUUUAAAAAAAAUACUUAAACAUGAGAAAAGAUAUGAAUAAGUAUAAUUUUUUUUUAAAAACAUAUAAACUAAAUUUUUAUUCUUUUUUAGAUGUUACUCCUACACUCUAUCUCCAUAUAUUGUACAAAUAACAAGUAAAAAAGUAAGCAUGUUUAUUAUUGCACAAAUGUUUAUGUUUGACUGAAAAUUUGUCGCUUUUUAAAAUUUCACCAAUAAUUAAUAUAAUAAUUUACAACUUUUAGAUAACUAAAAGGCCCACAUAACUAUAAAUGACUCAAAUAUAACUUGCAUUGUCAUAAAUCUUACAAAUAAUCCAUGAUAUCUAUAAGAAAUUAACUUAUUCUCAUAAAAAAUAAUAUUCAAAAACACAAUUUAAAAUCUUCAUAAUUUAGCACGCAAAGAUAUAUUUAGAGUAACAAUAUCACAACGAUAUUGAAUUCAAAGUACUCAAACAAUUCUCACUCAAUUUCAAAUAUUUACAUAUUUUCAAACAAAACAUAAACUCCUACAUAAAAAUCAAUAUAUUGUGAUCAAGUUUAUCAUAUAUAUAUAUAUAUAUAUAUAUAUAUUACCGGAUAAAAUCAUUAUUAGACUUAAUUAGACUUAAUUACAGGAAUAUAAUCACUAUUAAUGAGUCUGUAAUUAAGACUAAUUAUGGACGGUUGUGUACGGUUCUAAUGUUAUGAUUAUAUAUAUGUAUCAUUGCUAUAGAUGAAAGACAGAUUGAAUAAAACAGAAAAUAUUCUUUCAAUAUAUACUAUGAUCAAGUCACCUUACUUUCAGAUAAUCUAACCAAGGUAUUGCCAAAAUAUAAAUAGUUUCUUUUACUUCCUAAAGUUUUUUUUACUCUAAAACCAAAGCUCUAACUUUCUUAUAACACAAGAAAGUUAAACUUGUACAUAAAAGACACUACAAGAAAAAAAGGGUUUCAACGGAGGUUCUUUAGCAGAGGUUAAUAUAACCCGAGUAAUGAAUUUAAUUAACCAAGGUUUUUUUUAGCGUUCAUUACGUUCCAAAGGUUUAUUCUAAAACCUCAGUAAAAUAACAGAAUUUUUUUUAAUCUUCGUUAAGUUCUAAAAGUUUAUUCUAAAACCUCUGCAAGAUGACGGAGGUCUUUAACCUUCGUUAAGUUCCAAAGAUUUGUUAUAAAACUUUAACAAAAUAAUGGAGGUUCUAUUUUAGCAUUCAUUAAGUUUCAAAUAUUUAUUGUAAAACCUCAGCAAAAUAACAAAAGUUUUUUUUAACCUUAGUUAAGUUCCAAAAGUUUAUUCUAAAACCUCAGCAAAAUAAUGAAGGUUUUUAACAUUCGUUAAGUUUCAAAUAUUUAUUGUAAAAACUCAGCAAAAUAAGAGAGGUUUUUUUCACCUUCAUUAACUUUCAAAGGUUUAUUCUAAAAGCUUAAAAAAAUAAUGGAAGUUUUUUAACAUUCGUUAAGUUUCAAAUAUUUAUUGUAAAACUUGAGUAAAAUAUUUUAGAUUUUUUAAAAAGCAGUGUAAUAUGUACCAAAAUUUGAAUACAAUAUUAAAAAAUAUGUGCCCCAAAAGACACAUAUAACACUGGUUGGGACUCACAACCGGUGUUAUAUGUGCUCCAGAGUCACAUACUAAAACCCUAAACCCAUUACCAAAACGUUCAACAUAUAAAAAAUAAAACCACAAUUCAAAAAGUAAAAUAUAAUACAUUAUAUUUCAAACAUAAUACACUAUAAAACACAGUACACAAUGUCGAGGAUCGAUCACCCCUAGACUCAUUACCAAGAUGUUCAACAAAUAACAAUUACCCAAUUUAAAACAUAAUAAUUAUAUUCCCAAUACAAUAUAAUAAAAAUAAUUAUCUAUAUAAAUAACUGUAUACCAAAUAAUAAUUAAAAUUAAAAUUAAAAUAUAUAAAAAUAAAAAACUAACCUAGAGCGUAACGUGAACGGAGUUGUGGUGGCAAUGUGGCGGCGACAAAGGCAACAACAACGACGAAGAAAACUUAGAGUAGUGCGAAUGGGACGUGAGAGCGCGAGCCAAGAAAAUAGGAUAAAAACAUAUGUUACACCAUUUAUGAGUAAUAAUCGGUGUAAUAUAUCUUUUUAUUUAUUUAUUUUGAAAUGACAUAUAACACUGGUUGCGUAGCCCAACUGGUGUUAUAUGUAAUUUUUAAAACUUUAAAAACAUUUUUUAAUCUAGAAAUUACAUAUAACACCGGUUCCUCUUUCCAACCGAUGUUACAUGUAGUGCCCAAAGCUAAAUUUUUUUAAACUCUAGGAAUGACAUAUAACACUAGUUGUAUAGAGAAAUCGGUGUUAUAUGUCAUUUUUAAAAACUUUUAUUUUGUUUUUUAAUUUUGGAAUGACAUAUAACACCGAUUCCUCUGUCUAAUCGGAGUUAUAUGUAAUCCAAAAAAUAAAAAAAAUUUAAUUUUUUUUUUCUUUGAACAAGACAUAUUACACCGGUUGGAUAGCGAACCUGUGUAAUAUGUGCCAAAUAUUUACAAAAAUACCACCGCAUUUUUAUUUAUAGUUCUCAUUUAACCUGCCUAAUAUGUCGUUGUAAAAUACAUAAUUUGCAUUAGUGAUUUAUGUCCUUUAAUGACAAUAUGACCGAGGACAAGGUUGAUUUUUUACUCUAUUUUCACUCUAACAAAAAUGGAGUCAAAAGCAAAUGUUGAUUUCCUACUAUAUUUGCUUUGAAAAUUAUUACUUUCUAAAAUUUCAUCCAAAAUCAAUAAAGUUACAACUUUUAGAUAACUCAAAAGCCCAACAUAAUUAUAAAUUACUCAAAUACAACUUGCACCCUCAUAAGCUCACAUAACAAUCCAUGAUAACUAUAAGAAAUUAAUUUAUUCUCACAAAAAGUUGUAUUCACAAUAGAAUUUAAGAUCUUCAUAAUUUAAGAUACCAAAAUCUAUUCACCUAACAAUAUCUCAAUGAUAUUAAAUUUCAAAGAAAACAAUAACCAUUGUACAAAAAUCAAUAUAUAAUGAUCAAGUCAAAUGGUGAAAAUGAAGACUGGCCCAUCCUGAGUAGAACAUGUGAAUCGAUUUUAUGGGAUCGCCCCACUUAAGGUUGAAUCACAUGCUUGCAGAUUAGUCUGUAUAAGAAAUUUUUUUAAAUUAAUGAAAAAUGAAUUUUUAGAUAUAAAUUUGGAAGAAAUUUAAUUCUCUUUACUAUUUAGAUCAAUUAGGUAAAUAUUCUCAUAAUACAUACUUAAUAAGAUAUAAGUAAAAGUUCAUAAUGUAUUUUUUCUUGAAUUUUAGAAUGUGUUUAUUCUUUAAUUCUAAAAUGUGAAAUUUAAAAUGUCUAGAAUUAAAAUUUAGAAAUUAAAGAAAUCGCAACCAGAUCAACCACUCGGCUCGACAUCGACCCGGGCGCGUUCGACUCGAUAUCGACAUGGGCUUGUUCGGCUCGACACCGGCCAGGGUCCGCUCGGCUCGAUAUCGGGCCGGGUCCGUUCGGCUCAACACCGGCCCGGUUCCGCUCGGCUCGACAUCCGCCCGGGCCCGCUUAGCUCAAUAUCACCUUGGGCUAGCUCGACUCGAUAUUGGCACAAGCCCCCUCGGCUCAGUAUCAGCCUUACCCUGCUCAGCUCGACUUUGGCCUCGUCCUAGAAGAAUCAACAUCGGCCCGGGCCCGGUCCACUUGACAUCAGUCCGGGCUCGGACGACUCAACAUCAACCCGGGCUUCCUCGGCUCGACAUCGGCCUGGACGGCUCGAUUCAACAUCAACUCGGGAUUGCUUGGCUCGACAUUGGACCGAGCCCGCUCAGCUCGACUUCGGCCCAGGACUACUCGAUUCGACAUCGAUCCAAACCUGCUUGGCUCGACAUCGGCUCGGGCUUGCUUGGCUCAACAUUGGCUCGGGCCCGCUCAGCUCAAUAUCGGCCUUGGCCCACUCGGCUCGACAUUGGCCUGGGCCCGCUCGGCUCUAUAUCAGCCCUGGCCUGGUUUUCUAAAUAUCCACCCGGGCCCGCUCGACUCGAUAUCAGACCUGAAAGACUCAGAUCGAUAUGGGCUUGGACCGGCUUGAAUAGACAUUGGGAUGGGCAAACUCAGCUUGAUAUGGGCUUCGGCCGACUCGGGGCAACUUAAUAUCGGCCACUCAGCUCGACUUGGCACAGGGUUAACUCGGCUCGACUUUGGCCCAAAAUGAUUUGGCUCGACUUUGGCCCAUACCGACUCAAUUCGACUUUGGCCCGGACUUUGCUCAACCUGGAUCCGAAUUUUCAAUUUUUUUUUUUAUUAAAAAGAAACUAAUAUAAAUUAGAUGUUUUGUUAAUUUUAAUUUGUGUUUCAAUUGAAAGGUAUUUUUGGACUUAAUAGAAAAAGAAGGUAUGAAGUUAUAGGAAGAAUUUGUAUUUUAUAAACGUUGAAUUCCUUUUUUUCUUUUUAGUGUGUCUUGGACACAUUAAAAAAAUGGGAAAGUUGUAUAUUUGUUUUUCGAUAGAACAAAAGGUAUAUUUGGUUUUGGUAUAUCAUCUGGAAAAUGCAAAUGUAGUAAUAUGUGUAACUUAAUUUAUUAAUACUUAUAAAUUAAAUUUUAAUUAAUAACUAUAAUAAAAUAAAUAACUUAAAUAUUUUUUUUAAAUCAAGAAUAAAAAAUCAAUUUUAUUCUUUAAAUUUUUUUAAAAAAUCUGAUCUCAAUUUUUAAAAAAAGUUUAAUUUAAUGUAGUCUCAACUUUACAAAAUAAUUCAUUGAUUUUUUUUUAAAAAUAAUUAAUACAUAUAAUUUGAUAUAUUGUGACAUAAUUGCUGAGAUAUAUCUGUUUUAAUGAGAAUAAUUUAAUAAAAUGAACUACAAUAAAUGGUUUAAAAAAAAUUAAAACCAUAUUAAAUUUUUAAAAUUUUUCAGAAUUAAAUUGAUUUUUGACUCUUAAUAUAAAAAUCAAAAUUCUUAAUAUAAAAACCAAAAUGAUAAUCUAAAAUACUUUAACAUAUAAAAAUAAUAAUAAGUUUAAUUUUCAAAUUUAAAACAUUAAAUAAUUAAUAAAAAUUAUCUACAAAAUUAAAUGUAUUUUUAAAAUAAUAUAUAUAUUAAAAUGAAAACACUUUUUGUUUUAGAAAAACGACAACUGACCCCAUACUUUUGUCUGAUAUCUUUGUUUUUCCUGUGAUUCUGAAAUAAUUAGAAUUUCCGUUUAAUUUUCUAAAUUAAAGGAGAUAUCUGAGGAUAUCCUAAUUUUUAUACUAUUUUUAUUAUAUAAAUUUUUUUGAUGUUAGAUAGUUUUUUAUACUAAUUUUAAUUUUAUAAAAAAAAAACCAAUAACUCAACCAUCGUGCUUAUAAUUCAUGCUGCAAAAUAAAGCACACAAAUUUGCAAGAGUUCUACAUUUAUAUUAAUAUAGUUUGUUUUAAGUUUGUUUUUUUAUUAGCAUAUUGUUUUUAAGUAUUAUUGAUAGUUUAAUAAUAUAAUAAUAAAAAUAUACAUUAAAAAUUAUAUGUCUUUAAAAUACACAUGCAAUUAAUAAAUUUAUAUAUAAUAAUUAUAUGUCUUUAAAAUACACAUGCAAUUGAUUUCGUACUUUUACCAAUUGGUUUGCUCUAAGAAAAUUAGAGCUAUAAUUAAAGUUUAACGUAAUACAUCAAAUCAGGUGUCAUAAAAUGAUAUCUUUUUUCGAAUUAAAUUUAUUUUGGAUUAGGCUAUCUGAAAUGUAAAAACACAAACGAUUCAUCUUAGUUAAACAUAAACGAUUCAUAUUAAUUAAAUGUAAAGGUAAACUCUCUAAAAAACGAUAAAUGGAGGAUACCAACAACAUGAAAAGCUACUCAUUAAUUAUGAGUUUUAACAUAACACUUUCUUUCACGCAAGCUAGACAAACAAUCUUAUUUUUGAAAAAAAAAAUGACAACUUCAAAGCAUAAUCCACCAUUUCUAACGUCUCAUCUCCUUCUCAGGGCUAGUUUUUUAUAAUACUGAAAAGGAAGAGGAAGAAAAGAAAGUAAAAAUAAUGUUAGAAAAGUAAAUGAAGGAGUAAAAUUAACAUGAAUAAUGAUAUAAAAAAAGAAAGAAAUCUCACUUCUCGCAAUCGAAGUCCUUGGAGAUGGGAUAAUUCACAUUAAUAUUACAAACUUUAGGAAGGUUNNNNNNNNNNNNNNNNNNNNNNNNNNNNNNNNNNNNNNNNNNNNNNNNNNNNNNNNNNNNNNNNNNNNNNNNNNNNNNNNNNNNNNNNNNNNNNNNNNNNNNNNNNNNNNNNNNNNNNNNNNNNNNNNNNNNNNNNNNNNNNNNNNNNNNNNNNNNNNNNNNNNNNNNNNNNNNNNNNNNNNNNNNNNNNNNNNNNNNNNNNNNNNNNNNNNNNNNNNNNNNNNNNNNNNCUGUGAGGACUAACACAGCUACCAAACUCAAAAAUGGUACAUACACACUCUUCAUUUUUGCCACAAUGGUUUAUCUGAAUCACUCACUGGUGCUUUUGAUUUUGGAUGGAUGGAACACUGUGAUAAUCUUACAUUUAUAGCCACAUGCAUGGUGCGUUCUGAG
rnacentral:lncRNA from 1 species